GAAGACGACAGACGCUUCCACUGUUGGCCCUUCUACAGGGGGCACCAAUGCUGUGGUCAGAAAUUGAGGGACCCACCACCACUACUACCGAGCUUCACCACCACCCCUCUGACCAGCAACACAAAGUCCCAUAGGAGGAACCCGGAAGUGAAGCAGGAACGUACGGCUGGGCGUCGCUGGUGUUCAUCCUUAAGAACGACGGCUACUUCAGUGACCUAUGUGACAUCACUGCCAACGCCUCUGACCCCGGUGACAUUAUCACGUUGUCAGGGGAGCGGCCCAGUGAUAACAUUAUACAGUCAGACUGUAGUGGACAGGAUGAACAGUUCUC